rnacentral:rRNA from 1 species
GAUGAACGCUAGCUACAGGCUUAACACAUGCAAGUCGGGGGGAGACGAUAGAGAAAGCUUGCUUUUUCUAGGCGUCGACCGGCGCACGGGUGAGUAACGCGUAUCCAACCUGCCCAUCACUUGGGGAUAACCUUGCGAAAGUAAGACUAAUACCCAAUGACGUCUCUAGAAGACAUCUGAAAGAGAUUAAAGAUUUAUCGGUGAUGGAUGGGGAUGCGUCUGAUUAGCUUGUUGGCGGGGUAACGGCCCACCAAGGCGACGAUCAGUAGGGGUUCUGAGAGGAAGGUCCCCCACAUUGGAACUGAGACACGGUCCAAACUCCUACGGGAGGCAGCAGUGAGGAAUAUUGGUCAAUGGACGAGAGUCUGAACCAGCCAAGUAGCGUGCAGGAUGACGGCCCUAUGGGUUGUAAACUGCUUUUAUAAGGGAAUAAAGUGAGUCUCGUGAGGCUUUUUGCAUGUACCUUAUGAAUAAGGACCGGCUAAUUCCGUGCCAGCAGCCGCAGUAA